rnacentral:miRNA from 1 species
GGCUCCUCCUCUCAGGAUGUG